rnacentral:rRNA from 1 species
CCUGGCUCAGGACGAACGCUGGCGGCGCGCCUAACACAUGCAAGUCGAACGAGAGAUGAGGAGCUUGCUCUUCAGAUCGAGUGGCGAACGGGUGAGUAACGCGUGAGGAACCUGCCUCAAAGAGGGGGACAACAGUUGGAAACGACUGCUAAUACCGCAUAAGCCCACGGCUCGGCAUCGAGCAGAGGGAAAAGGAGCAAUCCGCUUUGAGAUGGCCUCGCGUCCGAUUAGCUGGUUGGUGAGGUAACGGCCCACCAAGGCGACGAUCGGUAGCCGGACUGAGAGGUUGAACGGCCACAUUGGGACUGAGACACGGCCCAGACUCCUACGGGAGGCAGCAGUGGGGAAUAUUGCACAAUGGGGGAAACCCUGAUGCAGCGACGCCGCGUGGAGGAAGAAGGUCUUCGGGUUGUAAACUCCUGUUGUUGAGGAAGAUAAUGACGGUACUCAACAAGGAAGUGACGGCUAACUACGUGCCAGCAGCCGCGGUAAAACGUAGGUCACAAGCGUUGUCCGGAAUUACUGGGUGUAAAGGGAGCGCAGGCGGGAGAACAAGUUGGAAGUGAAAUCCAUGGGCUCAACCCAUGAACUGCUUUCAAAACUGUUUUUCUUGAGUAGUGCAGAGGUAGGCGGAAUUCCCGGUGUAGCGGUGGAAUGCGUAGAUAUCGGGAGGAACACCAGUGGCGAAGGCGGCCUACUGGGCACCAACUGACGCUGAGGCUCGAAAGUGUGGGUAGCAAACAGGAUUAGAUACCCUGGUAGUCCACACCGUAAACGAUGAUUACUAGGUGUUGGAGGAUUGACCCCUUCAGUGCCGCAGUUAACACAAUAAGUAAUCCACCUGGGGAGUACGACCGCAAGGUUGAAACUCAAAGGAAUUGACGGGGGCCCGCACAAGCAGUGGAGUAUGUGGUUUAAUUCGACGCAACGCGAAGAACCUUACCAAGUCUUGACAUCCCUUGACGAACAUAGAAAUAUGUUUUCUCUUCGGAGCAAGGAGACAGGUGGUGCAUGGUUGUCGUCAGCUCGUGUCGUGAGAUGUUGGGUUAAGUCCCGCAACGAGCGCAACCCUUAUGGUCAGUUACUACGCAAGAGGACUCUGGCCAGACUGCCGUUGACAAAACGGAGGAAGGUGGGGAUGACGUCAAAUCAUCAUGCCCUUUAUGACUUGGGCUACACACGUACUACAAUGGCGUUAAACAAAGAGAAGCAAGACCGCGAGGUGGAGCAAAACUCAGAAACAACGUCCCAGUUCGGACUGCAGGCUGCAACUCGCCUGCACGAAGUCGGAAUUGCUAGUAAUCGUGGAUCAGCAUGCCACGGUGAAUACGUUCCCGGGCCUUGUACACACCGCCC